UGUUUCCCCUGCUGCCUUUGGAAGGCUGUUCCAGAAUUUGUUCCUCUGAUGGGUCGAAAUCUUCGGCUGAUUUUCAGCCGGGACUUGUUGAUGGUCAGUUUGUCCUUGUGCCCCAUUGGCGUUUAAUGUGAGCGGCUCCUCCCCCUCCUCUGGUAUUUAUUCUCCUGAUGUGUUUAUGGAGAGCAACCCUGCCUCCCCUGAGCCUUCCUUUGGUCAGGCUAAGCAAGCCAUGCUCAGAGGUAAGCUUUCCCGCCCACAGAUCACCCUAGGAGCCUUCUCUGCAUCCGUUCCAGUCUGAAUCAAUCUUUCUUACACCUGUGGCCAGAAUAGCUAUUGCAGAUGAGGUCUUGUCAGUGCCUUGGAGAACACCACUGAUGCUUCCCUGUCUUCUGGCAAUGCCUCGCCUGGUGCCCCCUUUGAAUUGCUUUGUAGAAACUGCAGAAUUCCUCCAUCUGUCUCUUUCCUUUGCCAGAUCCUCAUGGCUGCUGCUGGCCCCUUUGCUCACCCCUGCUGCUGCUCAAGUCACAGCCCCAUCGUUCUGCUUGUGUCCGGAGGGGGUGCACAAGUUCCAGUGGAUCAGGAACCUGGUUCCAGAGUUUGGGGUCUCCAGCUCUCACAUCCGGGUGCUGUCAUCCCCGACUGAAUUCUACGAGCUCAUGAAGGAUCAGAUAAAGGCAGCCAAGCAGCGAGUAGUGAUGGCUUCGCUGUACCUCGGCACAGGACUCCUGGAGCAGGAGCUGGUGGAUUGUAUUGAAGAAGCACUGGAGAGGUCACUGCAGGCAAGUGGGUCCUCUGACUUCCGAGUCUCCAUCCUCCUGGAUUUCACCAGGGGAUCUCGAGGCACGACAAACUCUCGAACCAUGUUACUUCCACUGCUAAGAAGGUUUCCAGAGCAAGUCCGUGUAUCCCUCUUCCACACUCCAAAUCUGCGUGGGCUGCUCAAACUCCUAAUGCCCGAGCGUUUCAACGAAACCAUCGGGCUGCAGCACAUCAAGGUUUACCUCUUUGAUGACAACGUGAUCCUGAGCGGUGCAAACUUGAGUGACUCCUACUUCGCCGAUCGUCAGGACCGCUAUGUGUUCCUACAGGACUCUCCCGAGAUCGCCGAGUUCUUCACCCAGCUGGUGGAUGCCAUUGGAGACGUGUCGCUGCAGCUACAGCAAGAUGAUACAGUGCAAAUGAUGGAGGGGAUGGUGCAUCCGUACCAAGGAGACAAAAGGGCAUAUUGUGAAGCGGCAAACAGGAGAGUCAUGGAAGUGAUCGGCUCUGCCAAGGCUCGACAAGAACUCCAUGCCCAGACUGGCCACGGAGGGGAGGCGGAAGGAGAUCCGCGGUUGCCCCAGCAAGACCCACCACCCAAACCAGACACCUGGAUUUAUCCGCUAAUUCAAAUGAAACCCUUUGGGAUUCAAAUCGAUGAGCUGGUCACAGAGACGCUGCUGAGAGAAGCAGAAGGCGGCGCCAGAAUAUACCUCACCACUGGCUACUUCAACCUCACGCAAGCCUACAUGGACCUUGUGCUGGGCGCCAGGGCGGAGUAUCGCAUUCUGCUGGCCUCCCCAGAGGUGAACGGCUUCUUUGGCGCCAAAGGGGUGGCAGGUGCCAUUCCUCCUGCCUAUGUUCACAUUGAGCGUCAGUUCUACAGCAAGGUGUGCCGCCGUGGCCAGCAAGGCAGGGUCCGACUGCAGGAAUACUCCAGGAGCGGGUGGACUUUCCACGCCAAAGGCCUCUGGCUGUACCUGGCAGGAAGCAGUCUGCCCUGCCUGACUCUGAUUGGCUCUCCUAAUUUUGGGUACAGGUCGGUUCAUCGGGACCUUGAAGCUCAGGUUGCAAUAGUGACAGAGAAUCGUGACCUGCAGCAGCAGCUCCAUCAGGUUAGUGGCAAAGGAGCAGGAACAGCUUUAUCGGCGGGCAGCCGUGGUGUCGUCCUGUACGUUUGAGCAGCCCAGCCGCUGCGUGAAGCUGUGGGUGAAGCUGGUAACACCUCUGAUUAAGAACUUCUUUUGAAAGGAGAAGGAUCCUCCUCGGGUUGAAGGUCCAGACGUAGGUGGGGCCUCGCAUGCGUGUCUUGUAGACGGGGCACUCGUACACGUUCUUGGUGUCCAUGCGGUCCACGGGGAUGGCUCUGAUGAAGAUGACUGGCAUCGAGGGCGUCAACUCCUUCAGCCGCGCAUCCGUGAUAACCCCACUAGGAACGUCCCAGCGAGCGCCUGCAGUGUGACGGCCAGUCAGUGAGGGGGCAGCCGGAGGACCAAAGGGCGCUGCAGUAGCCUGGCCUUGGUUCCCCGGUGCCCAGUUGCCUUUUCAGAGUGACUGAUCCUGCGCCUAC